AUGAUGUAUCUUGAUUACUGGGGCCAAGGGAGCAUGGUGACUGUGACUUCAGAGACACCAUCUCCCCCCACGCUUUAUGGCCUGGUCUCCUCCUGUGAGGGGCACAACACCGAUUCGACAAUCUUUGGUUGUUUGGUGAUGGACUAUUCCCCUGACGUCACCAAGGUAACCUGGAAGAAAGGUGGGGAGCUAAUCACGGAUGGAUUGAAGACUUACCCAUCAGUGAGAAACAAGAAGGGAACCUACACCCUGAGCAGCCAGUUAACCCUGCCCGGGUCAGCGGUAGAUUGCCCCAGCAAAAUCUACUGUGAGGUUGAACACAGCGGGUCACACUCACACAAGAGCAAAGAAAUGCCAUGUGGUAGAGGUCCUCUCCCACCAACUCUUCUCCUAACUGUGAGCUCCAGUGAAGAAAUCGCAAGCAGCAAGUUUGCAACCAUUGUCUGUUCAAUCAUCGAUUUCCAUCCGAAGUCAAUCUCCGUGAGUUGGUUGAAAAAUGGCCGACUCUUGGAUUCUGGCUUCUUCAUGUCUCCCGUGUGUGAGGCGAACGGGAACUUCUCGGUGACGAGUCGGCUGAUGGUCCCUUAUGGUGAAUGGUACAACAGCGCAGUCUAUACCUGCCAGGUCACUCAUGAAGACAACAUUCAAAGUAAAAACAUCACCGCACUCCAGGAAGAUACCGAGUGCCACCCUAACACCGUUAAAAUCCUCCCACCGCCAGUAGAACAAGUCUUACUGGAGGCGACAGUGACGUUAACCUGCGUUGUGUCCAAUCUUCCUUCUGGAGUCAACGUGACCUGGAAACAAGAAAAGAAGCCUCUGAAAUCAGAGAUUGCUGACCAGCCUGGACAGAAUCCCGACAGCGUGAUCAGCAAAUUAGACAUUUCUACUGAAGCCUGGCUGAGUGGCGUUACUUUUGAAUGUGUGGUGUACCAUCAGAAUCUACCGACUCCGCUGAGAGACUCCAUCCACAAGGAGAAAGUGAUUAAUCCGCUGGAGCCAUCAGUGUCGGUCCUCCUGCCACCAACAGAAGAAAUCUCCGCUCAGAGGUUUCUCUCCCUCACCUGUUUAGUGAGAGGUUUCUCCCCCCGAGAGAUCUUCGUCAAGUGGACAAACAAUGACAAGCAGGUGAAUCCCAGUAACUACAAGAACACCGAGGUGAUGGCGGAGAGUGACAACACUUCCUUCUUCAUCUACAGCCUGUUAUCCAUUACAGCGGAGGAGUGGGCCAGCGGUGCUUCUUACUCCUGUGUGGUGGGACAUGAAGCGAUUCCAUUGAAGAUCAUCAACAGAACAGUCGAUAAAUCCAGCGAUUCAAUAAAUCGCACUUGGAUUGAAGACUAUGAGGAUGAUAACAGCAACAUCUGGACAACUGCUUCCACGUUCAUCACCUUGUUCUUCCUGAGUAUUUUCUACAGCGCUGCUGUCACUCUGGUGAAGCGCCGCUCAACAACCGCUGCCACUGCCGGCUCUCGGCAAGGAACGUCAGGCGGGGGAAGGCAUUUACUGCGCAUGUUCCCUCCCAGGCCACCACCUACUGCGCAUGCUCUGGCCAAGAGCGGGAAGGUUAAACGGUUCAACGGAAAGUUCUGGAACGUGGAGGAGAGGAUCCCAAGGGGGCUCCCAGAUGCAAAAGUUAUUAGCAUUGUCAACAAAGGGAACGUGUCAAACUGUGGUAACUGCAAGGUCAAAUCCCUGAUGUCAACCAUUGGAAAACUCAUCGCCAAGGUCCUUUUCAAGUGGCUCCUCCCUGCGUUUGAGGAACUCCUCUCUGGAGUCUCAGUGUGGCUUUGGCCCCAGAAAGUUACAAUGGACAUGUUUUUCACUGCUGUCUUGGACCCUCAUGGAGCUUUGACACAAUUAAUUGAGAAGCAUUUGUGA